rfam:Camelus ferus unplaced genomic scaffold scaffold466, whole genome shotgun sequence.
GAGGGUAUAGCUCAGUGGUAGAACAUGUGCUUAGCAUGCACAAGGUUCCAGGUUCAAUUCCCAGUACUUCCA